rnacentral:lncRNA from 1 species
UUGGUGCUUACUUCCCAGCCCCAGCAGCUGUAACCCAUGCCUUGCUUACUUCUCAGCCCUGCCUGCAUGAGUGCUCCCAUCUUGUGCACCAGUUUCAGCAGCAACAUUCCAAGUUUCCCUAACACCUCAGACCUGGCUCUGCUGGGCUGCCUCUCUUCCUUCUCUUUCCUUGCUUUUCACGUUUUCUGUCACCUUUCUGUUGAAUUUCAUUGUUCUCUCUUGGAUAAUGUAUUUUAGGUGUGCUUUCCUAUAUGCUAUUUUCAUUUUUCUAAGAGGAGAAGGGAGGCAUAAAAUGCUUCUAGUUAGUCAUCUUGAAGCCCCUCUCUAUUCUGAAGUUUAUAGGAUAGAAGUCUUGCAUGCCAUUUUUUCAAUUUAUUCCUAAGUAUUUUAUAUUUAUAUUUAAUGCCACUAUAAAUAAAAUGGCUUUUUAAUAUCUGAUGUUUUGCUUUUACUGUAUAAACAAAUUAUUGAUUUUCAUAUAUUAUCCUGGUAUCCUGCUACUUGCUACAAUCACUUAUUUCUUGUACUGUAGUUGGUUUUUAUACUGUUUAGAACUUUCAAUGUAAGGAAUUACUUCAAUUCUGGAGAGAUAGUAUUAUUUCUAAUUUUUAUACUUUUUAUUUUUUAAAAAAAUUAUUGCAACAUUUAGGACCUUCUAGGAUGUUAAAUAGAGGCUAAAUUUAAUGUUAAAUAGAAGUGGUUAGAAUGAACAUUUUUCUGUUUUUCCUGGUUUGAAGGAAUGUGCCUAAUAGUUCAGUAAAGGAUAAAGUUAGUUGUAGAUUUUUCAUAAAUUCCCUUUAUAAGAAUGAGAGUUUUCUUCUAUUCUUGAUUUGCUUGGAAUUUUUGUAAUGAAUAGAUUUUUAAUCUUGUCAAAUGCUUUCUUCAUUUGCAGAUGCUCCUUGACUUAACGAUGGUGUGCCGUCCCAAUAAACCCUUCAAAAAGUAAAUAAGGCUGGGUGCAGUGGCUCACACCUGGAAUCCCAGCACUUUGGGAGGAUGAGGCAGAUGGAUCACCUGAGGUCAGGAGCUCAAGACCAGACUGGCCAACAUGGUGAAACCCCGUGCCUACUAAAAAUACAAAAAGUAGCCGGGUUUGGUGGCGUGCGCCUGUAGUCCCAGCUACUUGGGGAGGCUGAGGCAGAAUUGCUUGAACCCAGGAGGCGGAGGUUGCAGUAAGCCGAGAUUGUGCCACUACACUUCAGCCUGGGAAACAGAGCAAGACUCUGUCUCAAAAAAAAAACAAAACAGUAAAUAAAUUGUCAUUUAAGGCACUGUUAGUUAGGGUCCAUCUGUAUUUGAAAGCAUCAAAAUUUUCCCCUUUAUU